GUGUUUGUUGAAAGGACAUAUGAUUGGCAUCUUCCUAAAUAGGGACAAAACAGCCUUUGGGCCUUCUUAUUACCAAAUAUAACACCGUUAAGGCUAUCCACCUCUUCGAGGUAGAUCUUACCUAAUUGAUUU
rnacentral:ncRNA from 1 species